CAGGUGCGCUAAUCUUGCAUCACUAGAAAACACCACGCCAAAUACGGCUAAGCGGCGCUGGUGGUCCAGUAGGUUGAGGUCCUCCAGUAGGCUGAGGUUCGCCAGUUGGCUGGGGGCCUCCAGUUGGUUCAGGCCCACAAGUUGGUUGGGGCCCUCCAGUUGGCUGGGGCUCUCCAGUUGGUUCAGGCCCACCAGUUGGUUGGGGCUCUCCAGUUGGUUCAGGACCUCCAGUUGGUGGGCCUGGUGGGCCAGUUGGUUCAGGACCUCCAGUAGGUUGACCAG